UGCAAGUCGAACGAUGAAGCUGGAGCUUGCUCCGGCCGAUUAGUGGCGAACGGGUGAGUAACACGUGAGCAAUCUGCCCUUGACUCUGGGAUAACUGCGGGAAACUGUAGCUAAUACCGGAUACUUUCCUCGCUGGGCAUCCAGCGGGGAAGAAAGAAUUUCGGUCAAGGAUGAGCUCGCGGCCUAUCAGCUAGUUGGUGAGGUAAAGGCUCACCAAGGCGACGACGGGUAGCCGGCCUGAGAGGGUGACCGGCCACACUGGAACUGAGACACGGUCCAGACUCCUACGGGAGGCAGCAGUGGGGAAUAUUGCACAAUGGGCGAAAGCCUGAUGCAGCAACGCCGCGUGAGGGAUGAAGGCCUUCGGGUUGUAAACCUCUUUUAGCAGGGAAGAAGCGAAAGUGACGGUACCUGCAGAAAAAGCACCGGCUAACUACGUGCCAGCAGCCGCGGUAAUACGUAGGGUGCAAGCGUUGUCCGGAAUUAUUGGGCGUAAAGAGCUCGUAGGCGGUUUGUCACGUCUGCUGUGAAAAUCCGAGGCUCAACCUCGGACUUGCAGUGGGUACGGGCAGGCUAGAGUGCGGUAGGGGAGAAGGGAAUUCCUGGUGUAGCGGUGGAAUGCGCAGAUAUCAGGAGGAACACCAAUGGCGAAGGCACUUCUCUGGGCCGUAACUGACGCUGAGGAGCGAAAGCGUGGGGAGCGAACAGGAUUAGAUACCCUGGUAGUCCACGCCGUAAACGGUGGGUGCUAGCUGUGGGCCACAUUC
rnacentral:rRNA from 1 species